UGCAGACAAAAACCUUAUUUUCUUUCGCCAUUUGGGACCCUAGCCGCUGCUAUUGUUUAUACUCGUGUUGCUGUUAUCUCUGUCGAUUAGUCCACUGCUGUUGUUCUUUGGUGGUUCGUACGCCGUCUAUUGCUGCUCCAACCCUCAUCUCUUACCCCUAAAGCUCAUCUUCACCGAAUUGCUGCAUCACUCGCCGCUCAUAAUCAGGGACGGACUGACACUAGAUUUCAUGUCGGAGGUGCGAACGAAGUUUGAUAAGUUUAGUAGGAAUUUGAAAUUUUCAAGUGCGCGACCGAGCCCCUAUCGAUCCAGCAACAACUGAGCCCUGCACAUCGAUUCUUAAACUAGGAUGCUUUUUUGAUGAGUCAUCGGCUAUGAAGAGUUACAAAAUCAUGGCACAGUUUUAGACGGUAAAGAUGGAAGAAGGCAGCGGCGAUCAAACGGGGUGCGAGAAGUUCCAGAGGGCGCUGAGCGAGUGCCACCAACGAUUUGGACUGGGUGCGACACGAGACGUGGCCUGUCAGCACUUGAACCGAGCCCUAGCGUAGUGCUUGGUCUCGUUUCUGUUCCCUGAAGAGUCGGAGGCGGUUAGGACACUGUGCAGCAGCGGUGGAACCUGGCUGAAGCGGUCCCAAUGCCAACAAGCUCUGCUUUCUCUCUCCGUCUGCAUCUCUUUUCAUCAGCGGGAUUGAAUGAUCUCGUCUGAUCUGGUGAACUUUUCCCUCGGAAGAAUUACCACUUUGACCACUAUGGAUUAGAGAAUAUAAGAGAGAGUGACGAACGAUUUGUAUAUGUUGGUAAAUUCCAUUUCCAUAUGCAGAAUUGUAUGCAUGGUUUGUACAUAGAUAAUCAC